rnacentral:rRNA from 1 species
CCUACGGGAGACUGCAGUGGGGAAUAUUGCACAAUGGGGGAAACCCUGAUGCAGCGACGCCGCGUGAGUGAAGAAGUAAUUCGUUAUGUAAAGCUCUAUCAGCAGGGAAGAAAAUGACGGUACCUGAGUAAUAAGCCCCGGCUAACUACGUGCCAGCAGCCGCGGUAAUACGUAGGGGGCAAGCGUUAUCCGGAUUUACUGGGUGUAACGGGAGCGUAGACGGCAGUGCAAGUCCGGAGUGAAAGGCGGGGGCUCAACCCCCGGACUGCUCUGGAAACUGUACGGCUGGAGUGCAGGAGAGGUAAGUGGAAGUCCUAGUGUAGCGGUGAAAUGCGUAGAUAUUAGGAGGAACACCAGUGGCGAAGGCGGCUUACUGGACUGUAACUGACGUUGAGGCUCGAAAGCGUGGGGAGCAAACAGGAUUAGAUACCCCUGUAGUC